AUCCGCGGUAGGUCGCCUCAUCUGGAAGGAGAGGCGGCUCAAAGGGGAGUUGUGGGCUUCCACUACUUUCGCUCCAGGAUGGGACUGCGGCCGAUCAGGCUGUUGGCGGGGUAAUGGCCCACCAAACCUGUAACCGGUACGGGCUUUGAGAGAAGGAGCCCGGAGAUGGACACUGAGAAAAGGGUCCAGGUCCUACGGGGCGCAGCAGGCGCGGAACCUUCGCAAUGCGCGAAAGCGUGACGAGGUUAGUCCGAGUGGCUUCCGCUGAGGAGGUCUUUUGCUAGCUGUAAAAAGGCUGGAGAAUAAGGGGAGGGCAAGCCUGGUGUCAGCCGCCGCGGUAAUACCAGCUCCUCGAGUGGUCAGGGCGAUUAUUGGGCCUAAAGCAUCCGUAGCCGGUUCGGUAGGUCCUCUGCUAAAUCCAAUCGCUUAACGAUUGGCCCGCAGAGGAUACCGUCGGACUAGGAGGCGGGAGAGGUGGACGGUACUCCGCGGGUAGGGGUAAAAUCCUUUGAUCCGCGGAAGA
rnacentral:rRNA from 1 species